AAACAUUGAUAGAAUAAUACACAACCUAUCCGCCCGGGUACUACGAGCAUUAGCUUAAAACCCAAAGGACCUGGCGGUACUUUAGACCCCCCUAGAGGAGCCUGUUCUAUAACCGAUGGUCCCCGUUGAACCUCACCCUCUCUUGUUUUUCCCGCCUAUAUACCGCCGUCGUCGUUUACCCUAUGAAGGUCUUACAGUGAACAAAAUUGGCACCGCCCAAAACGUCAGGUCGAGGUGUAGCAUAUGAGAGGGGAAGAAAUGGGCUACAUUCGCUAAGACAGCGAAUACGAAUGAUGAAAUGAAAGCAUUUAUCUGAAGGAGGAUUUAGCAGUAAGCGAGGGACAGAUACUUCG
rnacentral:rRNA from 1 species